UACGGAGGGGGCUAGCGUUGUUCGGAAUUACUGGGCGUAAAGCGCACGUAGGCGGUCUGUUAAGUCGGGGGUGAAAUCCUGGGGCUCAACCUCAGAAUUGCCUCCGAUACUGGCAGUCUCGAGUGCGGGAGAGGUGAGUGGAAUUCCCAGUGUAGAGGUGAAAUUCGUAGAUAUUGGGAAGAACACCAGUGGCGAAGGCGGCAUCCUGGACCGGCAUUGACGCUGAGGCGCGAAAGCGUGGGGAGCAAACAGG
rnacentral:rRNA from 1 species